AACGGCCGUAACAUGCUGAAUAUACCGGUUCUCGUUAGAUUCUUACCGAAGUGAAGCAUCAUUGGGCGCAGUCGGUACCCAGGUGGGUGACCACCUGGG